UUAUUAUUUCGUCACAUUACA
rnacentral:piRNA from 1 species